UCCGAUUGAUCCCGUCGGACCCCACUGCUAUCGAGGUGGGACUAAGCCAUGCCAGUCGAACGCACAGAACUAUGUCUGUGAGUGGCAUACUGCUCAGUAACACGUAGCUAACCUACCCUUCGGACGUGGACAACCCCGAGAAAUUGGGGCUAAUCCGCGAUAGAUGUGAUGUCCUGGAAUGGUAUUACGUCUAAAGGUAUCUCAUACAUGUUGAUAUACGCCUAAGGAUGGGGCUGCGGCUGAUCAGGCAGUUGGUGAGGUAAUGGCUCACCAAACCAUUGACCAGUACGGGCCAUGAGAGUGGUAGCCCGGAGAUGGACACUGAGACAAGGGUCCAGGCCCUACGGGGCGCAGCAGGCGCGAAACCUCCUCAAUGCACUAACGUGCGAAGGGGUUACCUCGAGUGCUAUCUGAUGAAGGUGGCUUUUCCAUGGUCUAAAAAGCCUAGGGAAUAAGAGGGGGGCAAGACUGGUGUCAGCCGCCGCGGUAACACCAGCCCCUCGAGUGGUGGGGAUGAUUAUUUGGCCUAAAGCGUCCGUAGCCGGCCGGAUAAGUUUCCCGUUAAAUCUAACGUCUCAAGCGUUAGGCUGCGGGAAAUACUGUCUAGCUAGAGAGUGGGAGAGGUCAGCGGUAUUCUGGGGGUAGGGGCGAAAUCCUUUGAUCCCCGGAGGACCACCAGUGGCGAAGGCUGCUGACUAGAACACGUCUGACGGUCAGGGACGAAAGCUGGGGUAGCGAACCGGAUUAGAUACCCGGGUAGUCCCAGCCGUAAACGAUGCAUACUAGGUGUUGGGUUGGCCACGAGCCACCCCAGUGCCGCAGGGAAGCCGUUAAGUAUGCCGCCUGGGAAGUACGAUCGCAAGGUUGAAACUUAAAGGAAUUGGCGGGGGAGCACCACCAGGCGUGAAGCCUGCGGUUUAAUUGGAGUCAACGCCGGGAACCUUACCGGAAGCGACAGCAGAGUGAAGGCCAGAUUGAAGAUUUUGCCAGACGAGCUGAGAGGAGGUGCAUGGCCGUCGCCAGUUCGUGCCGUGAGGUGUUCUCUUAAGUGAGAUAACGAACGAGACCCGUGCCACAUGUUGCUACCAGAAUCUAAAGGAUUGCUGAGCACUCUUGUGGGACCGCAGCCGAUAAGGCUGAGGAAGGUACGGGCCACGGCAGGUCAGUAUGCCCCGAAUCUUCCGGGCCACACGCGGGCUGCGAUGGUACAGACAGAGGGCUGCCACCCCGAGAGGGGGAGCCAAUCCCUAAACUGUACCUCAGUUGGGAUUGAGGGCUGCAACCCGCCCUCAUGAACAUGGAAUGCCUAGUAACCGCCAGUCAUCAUCUGGCGGUGAAUACGUCCCUGCUCCUUGCACACACUGCCCGUCGAACCACCCGAAUGAGGUUUGGGUGAGGAUUGGUCGAAUGUUGGCCGAUUCGAACCUGGGCCUCGUAAGGAGGGUUAAGUCGUAACAAGGUG
rnacentral:rRNA from 1 species